ACUGCCAACAGGAGGCUGCAGUCCCUGCCUGGGAUCCUAACCUCCACUCACCAGCUGGUAAAGCAAACCCUAGAACUCCACCUGGCAUAGGUCCCUAUUCUCAGGAGAUCAAAGAGCCACUGCAGCAAGUAGAGAGCUGCAAGAUGUUAAUGAGUCGACCCUGAUUCUAAAAGCCCAUUAACUUCCCAAUGCCUCUGUCCAUCAUGCCUGGACUUCACCCAUCAGGCUCACGUGGACAGGAGAAGAUCAAUGUCCUAGGUUUGAAGAAUACAGAUAAAAACCAAGGGAUGCCUUUUAAAUAACCUUACUACUGG